UGGCAAAAUGACCGGCAGAUCCGCCCAGGAAACCGGAGGCGUUUGGAUCUCCAUCUUCGACGGCGUCCCCCCGACGUUGAAGGGAGACGCCUUGUCCCCAGAGAGGAGCGUCCCCAUUGGGCCUGAACGUGGAUGUGGCUCCGGAAAGAAACGCAGUCUGAGGCCCAAUCUCCGGAGCGCAGGUGACCGCAGUGUGUCCCGCAUGCGGAGAGCAAGCUGCACCGAGAGAUAAACCGGGAGUGAGAGCAGGCCCGCGAAGCCGCCAGCUCUGUAGACACUGAUGCAACUGAAGUUAAUUACAGCCAAGAGGUGUCGGCGAGAGAAGCCCGGAGAAUACAUUCACUUAGGAUAUUUCUAAAGGUCGUUCUCACACUGGAUGCUCAGCCAUGGAGCUAAGCCGGCCGGGCUGAUGGGUUGACUCUUUAUGCGAAACAACAGGUACAAUGAACCCCGCAAAGGUAAUGCAAGUCGGGGGGGGAAGGGGGGAUGGAAAGGUUUGGGGAAUGGUUCUAAUUCUUUUCCCCGCCAUGGACCACAAAUGAAACGCGUGCUUUGAACUUUACAAGAGUUUAAAGGAUUUUCUAGGGUUAUUUUUGGCUGUGAAUGAUUCUUCUCUUAGAUGCUGACUUUAAAACCCAGCAUUGCCCUGGAACUUAAGGUAAGAAAAAUUCCUUGUUGGAAACAGAUUUUUCUUUUCUUUUCGUAAGAUUAUAAAUUAUAGCCAGCCAGCAAGAACAGCGGCCAUUUCCUUAGCGGUCAAAUUGGUAUUUUU